AGAGUUUGAUCCUGGCUCAGGAUGAACGCUAGCUACAGGCUUAACACAUGCAAGUCGAGGGGAAACGAUAUUGGAAGCUUGCUUCCGAUAGGCGUCGACCGGCGCACGGGUGAGUAACGCGUAUCCAACCUGCCCACCACUUGGGGAUAACCUUGCGAAAGUAAGACUAAUACCCAAUGACGUCUCUAGAAGACAUCUGAAAGAGAUUAAAGAUUUAUCGGUGAUGGAUGGGGAUGCGUCUGAUUAGCUUGUUGGCGGGGUAACGGCCCACCAAGGCGACGAUCAGUAGGGGUUCUGAGAGGAAGGUCCCCCACAUUGGAACUGAGACACGGUCCAAACUCCUACGGGAGGCAGCAGUGAGGAAUAUUGGUCAAUGGGCGAGAGCCUGAACCAGCCAAGUAGCGUGCAGGAAGACGGCCCUAUGGGUUGUAAACUGCUUUUAUAAGGGAAUAAAGUGAGUCUCGUGAGACUUUUUGCAUGUACCUUAUGAAUAAGGACCGGCUAAUUCCGUGCCAGCAGCCGCGGUAAUACGGAAGGUCCGGGCGUUAUCCGGAUUUAUUGGGUUUAAAGGGAGCGUAGGCCGGAGAUUAAGCGUGUUGUGAAAUGUAGACGCUCAACGUCUGCACUGCAGCGCGAACUGGUUUCCUUGAGUACGCACAAAGUGGGCGGAAUUCGUGGUGUAGCGGUGAAAUGCUUAGAUAUCACGAAGAACUCCGAUUGCGAAGGCAGCUCACUGGAGCGCAACUGACGCUGAAGCUCGAAAGUGCGGGUAUCGAACAGGAUUAGAUACCCUGGUAGUCCGCACGGUAAACGAUGGAUGCCCGCUGUUGGUCUGAAUAGGUCAGCGGCCAAGCGAAAGCAUUAAGCAUCCCACCUGGGGAGUACGCCGGCAACGGUGAAACUCAAAGGAAUUGACGGGGGCCCGCACAAGCGGAGGAACAUGUG
rnacentral:rRNA from 1 species